rnacentral:rRNA from 1 species
AAUAGAUACCCUGGUAGUCCACGCCGUAAACGAUGUGUGCUAGACGUCGGAUGUUCCGCAUUCGGUGUCGCCGCUAACGCAUUAAGCACACCGCCUGGGGAGUACGGCCGCAAGGUUAAAACUCAAAGGAAUUGACGGGGGGCCCGCACAAGCGGCGGAGCAUGUGGUUUAAUUCGACGCAACGCGCAGAACCUUACCAGCCCUUGACAUCCCGGUCGCGGGGACCAGAGACGGUCUCCUUCAGUUCGGCUGGACCGGAGACAGGUGCUGCAUGGCUGUCGUCAGCUCGUGUCGUGAGAUGUUGGGUUAAGUCCCGCAACGAGCGCAACCCUCAUCCUUAGUUGCCAUCAUUUGGUUGGGCACUCUAAGGAAACUGCCGGUGACAAGCCGGAGGAAGGCGGGGAUGACGUCAAGUCCUCAUGGCCCUUAUGGGCUGGGCUACACACGUGCUACAAUGGCGGUGACAAUGGGCGGCGAGCCUGCAAAGGUCAGCAAAAUCCCCAAAAGCCGUCUCAGUUCGGAUUGUCCU